GAUGAAGAACGCAGCGAAACGCGAUAGUUAAUGUGAAUUGCAGAAUUCAGUGAAUCAUCGAAUCUUUGAACGCACAUUGCGCCCGCCAGUAUUCUGGCGGGCAUGCCUGUUCGAGCGUCAUUACAACCCUCAGGCCCCCGGGCCUGGCGUUGGGGAUCGGCGGAGCCCCCCGUGGGCACACGCCGUCCCCCAAAUGCAGUGGCGGUCCCGCCGCAGCUUCCAUCGCGUAGUAGCUAACACCUCGCGACUGGAGAGCGGCGCGGCCACGCCGUAAAACACCCAACUCUUCUGAAGUUGACCUCGAAUCAGGUAGGAAUACCCGCUGAACUUAAGCAUAUCAAUAAGCGGAGGA
rnacentral:misc_RNA from 1 species